rnacentral:lncRNA from 1 species
GGAGAGGAUGCCAAUAGGCACCCCAGAGGUGACAGGACAGUCUGAACCCCCACCCUGGCAGAAGGGAGCUUGACAGCUCUGGGGCUCUCUGGGAAUGUCACUGCUAAAAUGGAUAUUUAUAUAUAUAUUAACCAUUCAUGGGAGGGCAGGGGCAGGGCCUGGGGUGGGAUCGGAGGAUCUGGCAUCGCAUCCUGUAGCUGGUCAUGCCUACCUGAGAGGCCUGGAGGAAACCAAAGUGGUUUAAAACAUUUAAGUGUGCUUCUUCAGAAAAAGUUUUGUCUCCCCACGCCACUUUUUAUUUAAACUAAAAAUAAUUUCUUGUUAGUGACUGCUUUGCAUUUAGACAGAGUGAUUGAUAACAAUUUAUAGGGGAUUUUGUUGGGGUGAAAAGCACACUGACAUGCCACCGCUGUUUAUUGGAGUGCGAUUUCACGUGCAAAUGCAAAAACAUUAAAAAUGUUAUUGCUCCUUAUGUGCAUAUGCGGCAGCGCUCCUCGAGGGGGCACCAGCUGCGGGAAGUCUGUUCCUUGCAGACCCCUGACCACGCGAUGAAUGAAUAAAGUACACUGACACACAGAUAUUCUGCUCUGCCAGUCCAGCUGAGGGUCCAAGCCCCUUACAGGCUCCCUGCUGAGCCCUGUAAACAGUUGCGACUCGGCAGGGAGCCUGUAAGCACCUGGGACCCUCAGAAUAUCUGUGUGUCAGCGUACUUUAUUCACCGGUCAUUGGGUCAGGGGUCUGCAAGGGACAGACUCCCCACAGCUGGUGACCCCUCGAGAGGAGCCCUGCCCCCAGCUGGUGCCCCAUGUGAGGCGCUGUGUGAGGAACUGUGUGAGGAAUGCUGUGAAGGAAACGCGACGAACCGCCCGAAAACGAAGACAGAACAGCAUGUGGAGACUCACACAGUGAAAUUUUCCUCCAAGAAGUACUGCAUGAACAUACCAGGAAAACCAAAAGAAUUCACAGGACCUUUGAAAGAAGUGGCUUGCCGCUGCAAACUCCAUGAGACAGCUGAAAAACUCUCUGUCUCAAUCUUAUUGAGCCAAGUUCUGCCCAGUUGCAGCAAUGAAUCCUGCUUGUCAAUCCAAACUACAUAUAAAGUACCUGGAAACCUACUCCAAAAAGCUGGGAAUCCCAGCGGGUCUCACCUGGAAAUGACUUCAGUGGGAUAUGAGGUAGAAUGUGGUGGCCACUGCAAACCAUAACUGCGUCAAAGACAGCACUCUGCUCCUUGCCGUUGCUCUGAGUGACAACCUUCCAUUGGCCAGAGGAUGAGAAAUCUGGACAUUUUCUCACACUAAGGACAGUUGUCUUGAAGAAACACAGAGAAGGCAUCAUUGAGAAUUACUCCAGGAUAACAUUGGCCAAGUGUGUCUUUCUCAUUGCUGCUUCAUGCAAGAGGCCUGACUCAGCAGUGGGACUAAUCUGUUAAGGGUGUUGAAUACUGAAUAAGGACUUGAGAGAGAAAAGAAAAGCAAGUUCUCAUGAAAACUGUCAGAAUCUAGAUGGAGUCACUAAUGUUAAGAAACCCGACAAAUAGAAUUGGGAAAGGCCAGAAAGAGCGGGUUCUCAUGAUGUGUGCCUGAUAACAAAAACUACAAAAACCACCACCUUACACAAAGACCAUCAUAAUCUUACACAAAAAUGACUUCUACAAGAACAUCUGCUCAGUAACUGUCCAAUCUCAGACUGGCAUCACCCUUGUUAUUGCUCUUUAUAUAAUUAUUUCAAAACAAUUAUGUAAUUGUAUUUUUUCCCCAUUUAAAAACCUUUGUCUUCCUUUAACUCCCUGAAUACACAAAUAGUUUACCAUGGCAUGUACAUUCUCAUUACAAUGCUCUAUCACCAAAUAUAUAUCUUUUCUUU